GAAAAGAACUUUGAAAAGAGAGUUAAAUAGUACGUGAAAUUGUUGAAAGGGAAACGAUUGAAGCCAGUCGUACUCACGGGUAAUCAACCUUUCUGGCGCGAUUAUGUGGGCGUGUUGGAGCCUAAUCAGCCCUCGCGUUUUUAUAUUCGUUCCUUUUGGGUGUACUUGCCCGUGCGGUAGGUUAACAUCAAUUUCGGACGUCAUAAAAUGACGGGAGGAAUGUAGCUUCGGUCUCGUACUGAAGUGUUAUAGCCUCUGGUAGAUGUGACGUUUGGGAUUGAGGAUUGCAACGGAUACCUCUCAGGGCUACCUGUCUGGCCUCUGAUGAUUGCUUUGGUGCCGAAAGCUUGCUUACGGUUAUCCAAGUUGACUGUCAAUAGAUUAGAACGUGAUUACAUUC
rnacentral:rRNA from 1 species